rnacentral:rRNA from 1 species
CAGCAGCCGCGGUAAUACGAAGGGGGCUAGCGUUGUUCGGAAUCACCGGGCGUAAAGCGCGCGUAGGCGGUUACUCAAGUCAGAGGUGAAAGCCCGGGGCUCAACCCCGGAACUGCCUUUGAAACUAGGUGACUAGAAUCUUGGAGAGGUCAGUGGAAUUCCGAGUGUAGAGGUGAAAUUCGUAGAUAUUCGGAAGAACACCAGUGGCGAAGGCGACUGACUGGACAAGUAUUGACGCUGAGGUGCGAAAGCGUGGGGAGCAAACAGGAUUAGAUACCCGCGUAGUCCCUGUCUCUUAUAC